CCUACGGGCGGCAGCAGUGAGGAAUAUUGGUCAAUGGACGAGAGUCUGAACCAGCCAAGUAGCGUGAAGGAUGACUGCCCUAUGGGUUGUAAACUUCUUUUAUAUGGGAAUAAAACGUUCCACGUGUGGGGUUUUGUAUGUACCAUAUGAAUAAGCAUCGGCUAAAUCCGUGCCAGCAGCCGCGGUAAUACGGAGGAUCCGAGCGUUAUCCGGAUUUAUUGGGUUUAAAGGGAGCGUAGGUGGAUUGUUAAGUCAGUUGUGAAAGUUUGCGGCUCAACCGUAAAAUUGCAGUUGAAACUGGCAGUCUUGAGUACAGUAGGGGUGGGCGGAAUUCGUGGUGUAGCGGUGAAAUGCUUAGAUAUCACGAAGAACUCCGAUUGCGAAGGCAGUUCACUGGACUGCAACUGACGCUGAGGCUCGAAAGUGCGGGUAUCAAACAGGAUUAGAUACCCGUGUAGUC
rnacentral:rRNA from 1 species